GAUUUUUACGUCUAUAUUCUUUAGUAGACCUUUGAACUGUUUGUACCUUCAGGUAAAAACGUUAUCGACGGUCAAAGAGAGUAAAAGUUAAGAUGCAAAAAAAGUAAAUUAUCGUAUAUGAAUAUUGGCCAGGAAAAAAAUACAUGUAUACUGAAAAUGGAGGAAUAUGGAUUAUCUGUUCGUAACACAAAAUUAGUACAUGCACAGGAAAUAAUACACACAUUAAGGGUACCGC
rnacentral:lncRNA from 1 species